UGGCUCAGUGGUUAAGAGCACUGGAAGUUCUUCCAGAGGUCCUGAGUUCAAUUCCCAG
rfam:Rattus norvegicus chromosome 7, whole genome shotgun sequence.